CCUCCUGUCCUGGAUGAACUGCAGCCCAAAAGCCCAGCUCAAAAGAAGAAAUUCAGAAUGCAGAAUAUUCCAGAAAUUAUACGUAAUACUUAAAAUAUAUUUUUUUUUUGUUUUACCUAUUUGUUCUGUGGUUAAGGGCCUCCUAUAAGGCAUAAAUACAAAACUGAUGAAAUUCUUCAAUCUACGGCUAGCAUUUAAACUAAAAAUAAAUAUUACAGCUGUCAUAAUUUUGUUAUAAUCCAUAUAAAUAAUUGAUUGAUUGUUGUCCAUUCCAGCCGCGCCGCACUCAGCUGGGUAUCUCACAGCCCCGCCCGCUACUAUCCCGGCGCAGCCCCCGCCCAUCGACUGACACUAGCGACCAAUCAACAAUUUCGGGUUCAAUCAAGAAUAAUGAGCGCUGUUUCGGGCUUGGCGUAUCAUAUACCAUAAGGUCGAGUCAUACCAAAACGUAUUGCUCGUCUCUCAAUGUUACCUUUUCUUAUAAAUAAAUAAUAAACUGCCAAUUAAUAGGAGUCUUAUGCAAAGUUUGUAACUUUCAUAUUUCUGAUUUGCUUUUAGUAUUAAUAAUAAACUAAAAUAAUAUCGUAAUUAAAAGAACCUAUUUUUCAGUUGUAAUGUCAUAUUUGUUACAUAAAUAUUGGCAAAAUCGUCUUAAGAGUACUUACAUCUUAUGAGCUCGAUAUUCAUAUUGGAAAAAAUAUAUAUUUACAAAUUUAUAAAAAAUCACAUUUUGCGUUCAACAUUCCUUAAAAUUAUUACAUAUAUUUGAAAUUAAGGUUUCAUUACCAAAGUAACUAGUGAAAUCUUCCUAUUUGAAUAUUAUAUGAAAGCCUUAUUAUAAGAAAUAUAACCUAUAUUUUGUACUAAUACUAAUUAUAUUUUCUCACAACGACUUUAACGUCAUGAAAGCCGCGACCGUUUUCUUGCCCUAUUUACGAUUUUAAUGUUUAAUAUCAAUCACAUACCAGUUUUAAUCUUAUAUUAUUAUAUUCUAACAACCAUUAAUUAAGUUAUCAAUGUGUUUCGAAUGGGCGGAUCACUGAUUAUAUAUUAUAUAUUUUAGAUAGGACCAUAAAGGACAAAUAAAAUUUGAAAACGAAAUUUUAUGACUCGAACCCGCUUCGUUUUAUUUAAUGUAAACUUUAUUUGCAAGAGCGACAUCGCAAGCCAAUUUCCUAAUAUGCAAAUAUUGGGGUUGAGCAGGUUAUCAACUGUAAAGUAGAUCUGUAGACGAAGCCACAACCUGAGAGUUGAAUAAAGCAUACAAGAUUUUAUCAACGAUACGUCAUUAGAACGGUUAGCUCAGUUGGGAGAGAGCUCGCACGGAACGCGAGAGGUCGCGGAAUCGUUCAUAAAAGUUUGUUUUCAAAUUUUGUUUGUGUAAUUAAUCCCAGAAGUGAGGGUUAUCACUUUAAAACAUAAAGAAUUGUUUAUUAUCAUAUUCAGUGUCUAUUUUUGUUAAGACAAACCCAUGGCCAAAAAGCGAUACACAUAUGAUAUUGUAAUGAUAUUUUUAAAAUAUGAAAUGAAAAAAAAAACCGUUUCAAAUUAUAAAAAAGAUAUACGAGCAUCGUAAUCAGUUGCGUUAGCAGACAUCCGUUGUGCGUUUGAUAAGGAUUUUUUUUUACUAUCUUGUUUUACGGCCCUACAUUCAAGCUCUGUUUAGGCUAUAGUCUUCAGUUAAUCACAUGGCCCAGUGCGAAUCGCUCGUGUGUGUAAUUCGCCUCUUGUAUUAUUUCUCUAGCCUUUGCGACAGCGACGCUUAUUAGGAAUCUUACGAUAUGAUAUGAAUACCUUUUCAAGCCAGCAAAUAUGUUCGCAAACUCUCAUAUGAAGCGCAAUGUAGGUAGGUACAAUAUUUAAUUCUUUUAUCUACACCUAAGCUUUAAAUCCUCUAUUAAAGAUUCUAAAACAGUUAGCUUACUGCUAACAUUAAAAAGCCCAGUCCUAGUAACCAUUACAUCAUCCAAACGAGUGUUGUAAUGUUGUACUGAAUUUCAUUACAACACUCGUUUGGAUGAUGAAUCUUUUAAAGAGGAUUCAUAUUAUGGGUGUAGAUAUGUAAUUGGGUAUUAAAACACUCAUGUUUUACUAUUAUCAUAAUAAAUCGACAUCGUGUUUUAAUACCCUCUUAUUACACAACAGUUGCAUAAGUAAUUAAUAAAGAAAUAUGUAUAAAUGUAUAAAGUUGACGCAAGCGUGUAUGUAUGUAAACAACACCAGUGCGUUGUGUGAUAUUAAAAUACACGUAGCUCAUAUCAUAGCGAUAGGCAUAUAUAUAUAUAUAGUAUAUCGGAUCAGCGGUUAUAUCACACAAUUCCGUUUGUUAGGAGGAAUCUAUUUUGCAACGAAUUAUAUCAUGGUUUUGAAACAUAGUAUUUCAUACGAAGGAAUUGUCCAAUGGAAUAUUUUUAAGUGUACACCAACAUAUUACCCAUGUGUGUUUUGUUUUAAAUUGUUAAUCAUAAAGUUUCGUUGAAAUUAUGUAACAUUUCACACGUCGUUUGCCACGUCACUAAUAUAUAUAUCAAGGCGGUUAUCAUGUUUCGUAAACAAUUUACAAGUCUACCGAUGAUUUAUUAAACCGCGAGCAGCGAGAGUUUGACAUUGUUAUAGAUACCAUACUUUAUAGUGCAGCACUAAGUCAGUUAAUGAAUCUAAAUUGAUUAAGAAGACCAAGUUUCACCUGAUUCCUGCCGUCGAACCCUACCUUUGCACGACACGCCACAAGUUAGGAUAUUCACAUUCUGGAUGUGUGGCGGUCCUCCACAGCGUGGUUUUCAAGGAGCUUACUUCCACGUACUACAAUGCUGUGGAAUGAGCUUCCUUGUGCGGUGUUUCCGGGACGAUACGACAUGGGUACCUUCAAAAAAAGAAGGUACACCUUAAGGCCGGCAACGCUCCUGUGUUUCCUCUGGUGUUGCAAGAGAUUGUGGGCGGCGGUGAUCACUUAGCAACGUUCGUCUUCCUUAUCCAUAAAAAAAAAGAAUUCAGGUGGUGCUAAGGAUUUGUUAACGAAACAGUUGAAACCUAAUUGAAAUAUUCCUACCAAUAUUACAACAUUAUUGCUUGAUGUUACUACCCUUCUAAGUAAGCCCCAUGACACUAUAGCAUUACACAGUCGACGUUCAUAGAUCACUUUAUACAGGAUGAUUGUUAUAACGUCGGGUAAAAUUAGUAAUCGGAGUAGAACAUGGUUUAGUCAUCGCAUAAAAAAAAAUUGCAGUAUAAUAUAAACGAAUUUACAAAUAAAAUACUAUACAUUUAAGUUUUCAUUUAGUAAAACAACAGAAAUAUCAUUAAAUUUUUGAUUAAUUAUGCAAAUUUAAAUUUUGUGUAUCCUACUUGUUGCGUGGAAAAUAUAACAGACUUAGAUCAUUUAUACUUCUAGACAGACUGUUGUGAAAACGUCGAAAAAAUUGAGUUUAGAGUUGACCUCUAUUUUAAGCAAUACUGCGUGCACUGACACAAAUUCAUACAAAUUGCGAGUGUAAAACGUAGCAUGUUACGCACACUAAAGUAUUAAAUUUUGCCUUUUUUUCGGUUGUCUAACAGUGACAGACUAUCUAGACGAAUAACGGCCGUUAUCAAUAACGUAUCUCUAGUUACGGAUACAUUACUGUCACCGUUUAAUGACAAGAUCUUAUCUAUCCAUAGUUAUGUCCAGUAUAGUUAUAGUCGAAUGCUUUAUGUCGAUAGGUUAUUGAAAUGUAAGUAGGUAAGCGUAAAAGGAUAGAUUUGUCUUACCUCUAGUAAGUCAAACUAAGGGUAGAUAGGUUAUUGAAAACGGCCGUAAAUUAUCUAAGAUUAUGGCGCGUCGGCUGGGCCUUGAUGUAAGGCCCCACCCCGCGGCACUCCCCAAACAGCCCUGUACUAAGCUACCUCGUCUAUCAUCUACUCGUGUGUAAAUAGAAUGGAAAUAAUUUAUAAAUAUUUAUAUGGAUACACAUACAUACCCUCACAGCCUUGUUACCGUCGGGGUAGGCCGAGACAAUAGAACGCCACUUGCUUCUAUCCAUACAAACCUCACGCGCUUCCUCUGCAUUCAUUACUCUUUUGAUACAUGCUCGUCGGUUGCGGGUACUUCGGACCUUUCCUUUUCUCAAAACUUCCCCAAUUUGGUCGACGAAUUUUCUACGAGGUCUCACACACUUGCCUUAUAUAUUUGAUGCGUCAUUCUUUCUUCACUCAUUCGCUCCACGUGUCCAUGUGCAUGGAUAUUCAAAAGAUUUUAAAUCUUCUUUAUUUGAAUUUUGAUGAUUCUGUUGAACUAAUAAACAACGCCACUUAAAGCUCCAUACGGAAUUACAAUCACCCUGUAUAUUUUUUUUUGUUUUCUUGUAACACUUAAAUCUAUCAUCUAGGAAGUACGUUGGCAAUAUAAAUCAUGUAAAAUGUGUUAAGAUCUGUAUAAUAUGUUUAUGUAAAUAAAUCAAGCAAACGUUUCGAGGCAAAGUCUGAUUUGUUAGAAACGUAUGCGUAUUAUCGUUAAUAUAAAUUUAAUAUUUUUAUAUUUAAUAUUAAGAAGUAUCAAAGGUAAUAUAUGGUUACUGUAUUC